AUCUAAAGCGCCAAUAACAUAAAAGAUACGCUAAUUCAUAGCGGAUCUACUCCUAGGAACAAAGGUUGUCCAUGUUGUUCUUUCCUUAUAAAGUUAUUCUAAGCAAGUUUGUAUGAUCCUUGAAUCCUAAUGAGGUUCAUAUUGAGGGUAUGGAUGUCCAAAAUGUUAAUUGAAGGUGCAAUGACCUUAUGUCACUCCGAAAGGUUUAGAACGUGAUUUUAUGAGUCUAGCAUGCAUUAUAUAUAGUAUCUAUUUUACACUACCGAGCCACGUAAUAGUUGGCAGGAUACUACACCUACUGUGAAACCACUGAUCAAUUGGGUUUACCGAGCUCUACGUGGCUGAGUACGAUUCUACCGAGCCUUAUGAUAGUCGGGUAUGUUGUUACUGAGUCCUCUUUGAGGCCGGGUACGAUAUGAUAAUGAUGAUGAUCCCCAUAGAGGCGUAUGUUUUUAAACGUUUAUGCAUAUAUAUGAAUUAUGCAUUUCAUGCCAGUAGCCCCAGAGGCACUCAGAUGUUCCAGGUUGUAGCUCCUCUAUCUCUCUUUACAUUACAGUUCUUACUUAUGUUUUCCUGCUUUACAUACUCGGUACUUUAUUCGUACUGACGUCCUUGUUGCCUGGGGAUGCUACGUUUCAUGCCCACAGGUCCUGAUGUAUAGGUUGACAUUCCUCCUAGUAGGUUAUCCACUCAGCAAAAGGUAUUGGUGCACUCCACUUACUCCAGAGAUAUCUAUUUGGUCAGUAUGAUUUGGACAUGUAUAGAUUAGUAUGGCGGGGCACUCCAACAGGAAGGAGAGCAGCUGAUUCUAGGGAUGCCCAUUUGUCCACAUCAAAAGGAAAGGAAUCAGUCCGGCAGCAAGAGAGUCCCGGCCUUUAUGUUGUGUAUGUGUUCGUAGUGACUUGUAGAUAGAUUUCGUGUAUAUGGAUACUUGUAUGUCCUUAUCAGCCGAUGUUUUGAGUUUACAAAUGAUCAUGUCGGCCUUAUAGGCCCGUAUGUCCCAUGUAUAAAUUUUUA
rnacentral:lncRNA from 1 species